rnacentral:rRNA from 1 species
UUGAACGCUGGCGGCAUGGCUAAAACAUGCAAGUCGAACGCGAAAGGGGGCAACCCCGAGUAGAGUGGCGAAAGGGCGAGUAAUGCAUUCCUAACGUACCCCAAGGCCAGGGAUAGCUCAGGGAAACCUGAAUUAAUACCUGAUAACCCCGACGUGUCGCGUGACGUGUCGGGCAAAGGCUUGCCACCAUGGGAGCGGGGAAUGCGGUAUCAGCUAGUUGGUGAGGUAAUGGCUCACCAAGGCUAAGACGCCUAGCGGGUGUGAGAGCACGACCCGUCGCAUCGGGACUGAGACACUGCCCGGACUCCUACGGGAGGCUGCAGUAACGAAUAUUCCGCAAUGGGCGCAAGCCUGACGGAGCAAUGCCGCGUGCAGGAUGAAGCACUUCGGUGUGUAAACUGCUGUCAGGGGCUAGAAACUCAAUGAUCAGCCCCAGAGGAAGAGCCGGCUAACUCUGU